rnacentral:rRNA from 1 species
CCCGCGGCGGCGGCCUAAUNAUGCAAGUCGAACGAACUCUGGGUAUUGAUUGGUGCUUGCAUCAUGAUUUACAUUUGAGUGAGUGGCGAACUGGUGAGUAACACGCUGGGNAAACCUGCCCAGAAGCGGGGGAUAACACCUGCGAAACAGAUGCUAAUACCGCAUAACAACUUGGACCGCAUGGUCCGAGCUUGAAAGAUGGCUUCGGCUAUCACUUUUGGAUGGUCCCGCGGCGUAUUAGCUAGCAUGAGUGGGNGUAACGGCUCACCAUGGCAAUGAUACGUAGCCGACCUGAGAGGGUAAUCGGCCACAUUGGGACUGAGACACGGCCCAAACUCCUACGGGAGGCAGCAGUAGGGAAUCUUCCACAAUGGACGAAAGUCUGAUGGAGCAACGCCGCGUGAGUGAAGAAGGGUUUCGGCUCGUAAAACUCUGUUGUUAAAGAAGAACAUAUCUGAGAGUAACUGUUCAGGUAUUGACGGUAUUUAACCAGAAAGCCACGGCUAACUACGUGCCAGCAGCCGCGGUAAUACGUAGGUGGCAAGCGUUGUCCGGAUUUAUUGGGCGUAAAGCGAGCGCAGGCGGUUUUUUAAGUCUGAUGCGAGAGCCUUCGGCUCAACCGAAGAAGUGCAUCGCAAACUGGGACACUUGAGUGCAGAACAGGACAGUGGAACUCCAUGUGUAGCGCUGAAAUGCGUACAUCUAUGGAAGAUCACCAGUGGCGAAGGCGGCUGUCUGGUCUGUAACUGACGCUCACGCUCGCAAGUAUGCCUAGCGCACUGGAUUAGAUCCCCUGGUACUCCCUACCGUAGACUAUGAACGCAAAAAUGUCGGAGGAUUUCCGCCCUUCAGUGCUGCCCCUAACGCCUGAAACAUUCCUCCCCGGGGAGUAUCGGCGUCAAGGCNCGAACCUCAACUGGAAUUGANUGGGGGCCCGAAACUAUUCGUCGUAANAAGCGG